AAAUUUCUGGCAGGGGAGAUAACAUGACCAGGAAGUUGGCCCUCCCAGGGCAAGACUCAUCCACCACACUCAGGACAUGCUGACCCCAUGACCUCUCGAAACGUGGGACACUCCACUGCAUAGUUUGUGGUAGUGGGGGACUUUUAUGCUGGGGCCUCUA